GUGCCAGGACUGAUAUUCUGAGUGUCUUCCCCAAUUAAAGGCCCUUAUUAUAACUAUUUUGGUAGUUCUGUGGUUUUUUUUUUUUCAGAUUGAUACCUCUAUGAGCACCUUUCCUGAGGAGACUACAGGCUCCUUCCUCCUUCUCAAGUUAUAUCCCACAAAGAAAAAUUAUAUAGCAACUGCUGGAUGGAUUGUUAUAUUUGGCACCCCAGAUGGGACCUAAGGUGCUAAAUUGUGAUCACUUCACUUGAAAAGAAUUCAUGUGGAACAUGGCUGGAGUCCUAACAGCGAAACCUGUGCUUGGCCAGUAAGUGAUCAUGGCCAGAUAUUAAGAGGAAAUGGAUCUCAUUUUUGGUAAGAAAACCUUGUAUUCCUAUUGUGCAAAAAAGAAUAAUAAAGUGGAGGAAUUCCAUGGAGACUGGAACGACCUCCAGGAAGUGAUGCAGAGCGAGAGGAGCAGAACCAGGAGAACAUUGUACACAGAGACUAAUACACUGUGGUAUAAUCGAAUGUAAUGGACUUCUCCAUUAGUAGCGGUGUAAUGUCCCUGAACAAUCUGCAGGGAUCUAGGAGAAAAAACACUAUUCAUAAGCAGAGGACAAACAGUGGGAGUAGAAACACCAAGGAAAAACAACUGCCUGACUACAGAGGUUGAGGGGACAUGACACAGGAGAGACUCUAAAUGAACACUCUCAUGCAAAUACUAACAACAUGACAAUGGGUUCGAAUCAAGAACACAUGUGAUACCCAGUGGAAUCACGCGUUGGCUAUGGGGGGGGGGGGAAGAAAAUGAUCUUUUUCUUUAAUGAAUAAUGCUUG